GUGUGUGUGCGUGUGUGUGUGUGUGUGUGUGCAUGUGCACGUGUGUGUGUAUGAGAGAGAAAGUGAGAGUCAGGAGCAGAAUAUAAAGCAGGGGAAGCAGAGACAUCAGGGAUAGACAGUCGUUCCCAACACACAGACUGGAGGAGAGGAAGAGGGGAUGGCAGCUCUUCGGCAGCUCUGCCGAGGGAAACGCCGUUAUGAACGCGGUGGGAGUGAAGCAGAACAGCGAGCUUGUGUCCGGACGGAUCAACAAUGAGCUGAAUCUCGCUGUGAAUCUCUGUGAGGCCGAGAGGAGCUGCAGAUUCAGUCUCAGAGUUUCCUGUGCUGCAGUUCUCCAGUUCUGUGUCUGGAAGAUGCAAGAGGGCAAAGUGCAGCGCUCGCCGCCCAUGCAUGCAGUCGGGGGAGCGCUUGGCGGCAGCCAUCUUUACGUUCUUAUCUCCCUCCCAUACGCCCCCCCGCAGGCCAGGCUCAGCCCUGCUGUAAUUGACUUUCUCCCACUGAGCCCAGUGGAGGCUUCAGGCUGCAGAGCUGCACUGCACUGAAAAACCUAUUACACACUGCUGCACACCUACACACUGCAGACCUAUAGAGAGAGGGGAGAGGGAGUGUGUCUCUGAAUUCAUCUACAGAAGUCGACAGCAUGUGUCUGUUGGUUCAGAUCCAAACAGUUCACUCCUGUCUGCUGUCAAAGCUGAGACGAAGAGAGGUGGAAGAGGAGAGGAAUGGAGGGAUGACUGAAUGAAGAGAGAGCGAUGGAGAGAAUAAGGAAAAAGGAGGAAGGAUUAACGGACAGAGGGAUGGAAGGAAGGAUGAGGGAAGGGAGUCAUCGAAGGAAGACAGAAAGGAAAUUAGGGUGUGAUGGAAGGGAUGAAGGGAGAGAAAAGAGUUGAGUUGUGUGAAGGGAAGGAACCAGGAAGUAUUCAGACUCCUUCACUUUAUUGUGUUGAAGAUUUUAUUGUGUUAAUGGAUAAAUUGCCAUUUUUCCGCAUCAGUCCGCACUCAACAAUGAGGACAAAGUGAAAACAUGUUUUUUAGAAAUUUUGCAAAUUUAUUAUAAAUCAAAAACUGAAAUCUCUCAUUUAUAAAACUAUUCAGACCCUUCAUUCAAAGCUUUUAUUGAAGCUUUGAGUCUUCUUGCGUAAGUCUCUACAACUGUUGCACAUCUGGAUCUGAUCAGUCUGUCCCAAUCUUCCUCUCAAGCUCUGUCAGAUUGGAUGGGAAACAUCUUCAGGUCUCCACAGAUGUUCUAUGACGUCUCACUCCCCUCUGUCCUCAACUCUCUGCUCCUGUGUGUCACUGUAGGUAAAUGUCAGUAGCAGCAGCAGCUAACUAGCUUGUUUAAUACACUUUACUUUUCUUGCCUUCAGAGUUCCUGAACAAGAUUGUGUCAAGUAUCUACAGAUGGAUGCUAAUGUUAGCGUUUCUAACUUUAGCCUCAAGUUACAGUUGAGCUAACUAAUGUUAGCUAGUUUCUAACUUUAGCCUCAAGUUACAGUUGAGCUAACUAAUGUUAGCUAGUUUC